rnacentral:rRNA from 1 species
AACGAACGCUGGCGGCAUGCCUAACACAUGCAAGUCGAACGAUACCUUCGGGUCUAGUGUCGAACGGGUGCGUAACGCGUGGGAACCUGCGCUUAGGUUCGGAAUAACUCCCCGAAAGGGGUGCUAAUACCGGAUAAUGUCUUCGGACCAAAGAUUUAUCGCCUUUGGAUGGGCCCGCGUUGGGUUAGCUGGUUGGUAGGGUAAAAGCCUACCAAGGCGACGAUCCAUAGCUGGUCUGAGAGGAUGAUCAGCCACACUGGGACUGAGACACGGCCCAGACUCCUACGGGAGGCAGCAGUGGGUACUAUAGGAGCAUGGGCGAAAGCCUGAUACAGCAAGGCCGCGUGAGUGAUGAAGGCGUUAGGGUUGUAAAGCUCCUUUACCCGGGAUGAUAAUGACAGUACCGGGAGAAUAAGCACCGGCUAACUCCGUG